UAGAACUCAAAGCCAAGAAUUGGACACUUUCUCCUCGCUAGGUUCUUUUGAGUCCUCUGUCCUGGGUCAAUAAACCUAUCCCCAAGAUCUAGGACAACUAAGCUAGCCAAAAUUGAGUUUUGGUCACUUGAAACCAAUCUUUAAUACAGUGAGGUUUGGGAAUUUCUGAGCUUCAAGAUAAAUUUCCAGUUCCCCAAAUAUUCUGAUCCUAAAUAUGUUGCUAACUAUUUCCUGUUCUUCUGUUAUGCACCCAAUGCUUUUGAGAACGAAAAUACUUACUAUUGUCCAUGUCCCCCUGAGUUUCUCAGAUCCGUGAACUUGCAUAUGCUGCUCCCUUUUGCCCAUAAUACUUUCGCCAUCACUGCAAGCCAAAUCCAACCUGUCUUCCAAAGUCCAGCUCCCCUCAGGCUCCUUUGCAGCCUGGCUACUCUCCCAGCCUAAUGGUACCUGUGCUUCCCCUGGAUUUCUGCCACUGCGGUGCGAAGGACUGAACCUGCAAAUUGCUGUCAGGACGUGUGGGCUCAGGACCUGGCUCUGCCACUCCUGAACUGUCUCCUUUGACCUAUCCAAGCUUUAAUUUUUCUUAUAUAAAACAGAGAUGGAAAUACCUCAUAGAGUUCAAGCCUUUUUCAUGACUCUUUUAGUUUUGAGUGACAGAAAAACUAACAAAAGUUGGCCUCGAACAAAAGGGAAUUUAUUGACUUAUAUAGAUGAAAAGGCUAGGGGCAGAGAUAGCUUCAGGUGUGGGUGACGUCAAAACUAAGAUGAUAUCAUAAGGACUCUGUCUCUUCUCUCAGUUCUGCCUUUUGCUCUGUCACCUUCGGGCUCAGGUUCAAAGAGCGGCAAGAUGGCCGGCAGCAAACCCAGAAUGUACAGUCUCUCUGCUUCAACUCCAGCAGACAUGCUUGAUGACCUCUUUCUCAGAAGUCCCAAUCACAGAGAAGAGAGAGAGAAAAUAGGCCAAAAUAUUAAUAGAGAAGGGGGCUUCAGGAAGGCACAGACUGAAUGAAAGAACCUCCCAAAGGCACUGACAGAGUCUGGAGCUGCUGGGACCAACUGGAGUUUGGGAAACCGAGCGCGUAAAAGAGGGAAUACAGGACUCAGAUCACCUCUUGAAAUGGUCUGCAGGUAGCCACAGGCGCUCUGCCCAGGGACCUGCAGCAGCACGGUCUUAUAGAAAGGGCCUGGACUCGGAAGCCACACAAAGUUGCAAGUGAAUGACUGAUGCUAAUUUAUAAAGCCUGGGAACACAGCAAAGGAGUUCAGGAGAACUGAUCACAUUGGUGGCUAAUCACUGAUAUGCAGCUUGGCCGUGGCAAGGAUUGAAAUGAAAAUUGUGUGUCAGUCUUUGACAUUGAAACGGAUGACAGUAAUCAGCCCCAUGCAACAGAUCAUUUCAUUCAACUACGCAGACGCAUUUUGCAGCUAAUCCUUCUUGCGAGACUAUUACUAUGAAUCACACCUUUUUAGCUGUGUGGUCCAGAAUCUAAGUGUCUCAGAAGGUCCUGUGAGAGGGAAAGGUUUGCGCUGCCUGGCGGCACAGGGCAGACAUCUCGACUCUCACAUAUGCCCACUCUGUGGACUUGCUUUAAGCCUAUGGGCCGAGAUUGCAAACUGGCAGCCGGUGGACCGCACACAGCCUGUGGAUGUGUUCUAUUUGGCUCCACACUGUUUUGCUUUUAUUUUAUUUUUUGUUGAGGAAUAUUAACCCUGAGCUAACUGCUGCCAAUCCUCCUCUUUUUGCUGAGGAAGACUGGCCCUCAGCUAACAUUCAUGCCCAUCUUCUUCUACUUGACAUGUGGGACGCCUACCACAGCAUGGUUUGUCUAGCGGUGCCAUGUCCGCACCUGGGAUCCGAACUGGCGAACCCGGGCUGCCAAAGCGGAAGGUGCGUUCUUAACCGCUACGCCACCGGGCGGCCCCUGCUUUUAUUUUUUUUAAGUUGAAUUGGUUGCCCUAAUCUAAAGCUUCACAUGACCCAAGUUUCUGGCUUGUCUUGAAAAAGGGAAGAGCUGGCAACACUGACGCUGCGGUAACAUCAUGUGGGGCUGAGCGGAGAUGCUCGCUGGAGAUGGGACCACCGUUACCUACUGUCUCCCUCCCACUCAGUUCCAUUCACGUAUGGAAACUGCCUGGGCCCUGAAGGCGUUUGAGCUGGGGACUCUUGGCCUGUGAAGUCCCCUUUUGUCACUGGAAGAGAGCACAGCUGCUAGCGUUCUGUUCCUUUGGGCUCUCUAACCUCUCUUCCUCCACCAGCAAUGAUACCAGCAGGAAUCAGUGUUUGUGAUUCCUUCGGAUAUGUCUUCCCUGAGUUUAUAUUUAAUGCCACAGUUGAAGACAUGUGUCAUGUGACCAGUAGGUUCUCAUAUGAGGAUGAAGGGGAGGAAUCUGUCUUUGAAAUUUGCCUCUCUGCACCGUUUCUGGGUUCUUUGAAGUCCAGCGGCUUCUGUGUGUAUAGAGGAACACUCUCUGCGACCUCCAGUAUAACUGAUGCUCAAUUUCUCAAAUUUAUUUAUCUAAUAAAACUUAGAAAAUUAAAAUUUCUUAAACUACAUUUUUACGUUUAGGUCCUGACUACAAAUUAUAUUUCUUUUGGGUGAAAAUAACAGAAAGCCCUGACUGAAAAUGGCUUAACCGAGGAGG
ensembl:lncRNA